rnacentral:rRNA from 1 species
UACGAAGGGGGCUAGCGUUGCUCGGAAUCACUGGGCGUAAAGCGCACGUAGGCGGCUUCUUAAGUCAGGGGUGAAAUCCUGGAGCUCAACUCCAGAACUGCCUUUGAUACUGAGAAGCUUGAGUCCGGGAGAGGUGAGUGGAACUGCGAGUGUAGAGGUGAAAUUCGUAGAUAUUCGCAAGAACACCAGUGGCGAAGGCGGCUCACUGGCCCGGUACUGACGCUGAGGUGCGAAAAGCGUGGG